rnacentral:rRNA from 1 species
UACGUAGGGUGCAAGCGUUGUCCGGAAUUAUUGGGCGUAAAGAGCUCGUAGGCGGUCUGUCGCGUCUGCUGUGAAAACUCGGGGCUUAACCCCGGGCCUGCAGUGGGUACGGGCAGACUGGAGUACUGCAGGGGAGACUGGAAUUCCUGGUGUAGCGGUGAAAUGCGCAGAUAUCAGGAGGAACACCGAUGGCGAAGGCAGGUCUCUGGGCCGAUACUGACGCUGAGGAGCGAAAGCGUGGGGAGCGAACAGG